rnacentral:rRNA from 1 species
AGUGAACGCUGGCGGUAGGCCUAACACAUGCAAGUCGAACGAGUGGCGGACGGGUGAGGAAUGCAUCGGAAUCUACUCUGUGGUGGGGGAUAACGUAGGGAAACUUACGCUAAUACCGCAUACGAUCGGAUGUGCCGAUGUCGGAUUAGCUAGUUGGCGGGGUAAAGGCCCACCAAGGCGACGAUCCCUAGCUGGUCUGAGAGGAUGAUCAGCCACACUGGAACUGAGACACGGUCCAGACUCCUACGGGAGGCAGCAGUGGGGAAUAUUGGACAAUGGGCGCAAGCCUGAUCCAGCCAUACCGCGUGGAUGAAGAAGGCCUUCGGGUUGUAAAGCCCUUUUGUUGGGAAAGCGGUACCCAAAGAAUAAGCACCGGCUAACUUCGUGCCAGCAGCCGCGGUAAUAC